UAUACCUAAGUUAGCUCGUUGAGCUUGUAUAUUUAUCUCUCUCUAACGCAUUAAUUCUAUAUACGUCAGUACCAACGCCUCACUAAAUUAUGUCUAAAUUUAAUAAUGGCUCUAUGACAAAAUAUUCAUGGAAUUUAUUCGUAGAUUUUUAUUUACUUCAUUUCAUACAUUAGUAUUGAUCUGAAUGUUUUUUACUAAAUACCAGGAAUAAAUAUUUAAUAAACAACUAUUUCAUUUAAGCUUAACCAACUUUCAGUUGCUCGGAGCUAGUUUUGGAACGCUCCAUGAAAUAUUUUCAUGGACGGUAAAUGCAACCCUGGGUGCAUCAUUAAUGAGCUGAAAAACCAAAACAAAUAAUUAAAUAAGUGCGUGCGUCUAAAAGUUUCGGAACAAAUUGUGGAUUAAAGCCUUUCGAAAGUGAUAAAUAACGUAAAAAGGAAGAUGCCGAAAAGGUGUGUAUCCAGAUGUCCAGAACAAGGAUCCUUGUAUAAGUUUCCAUCGGAGGG